rnacentral:tRNA from 1 species
GCCCCCAUAGCUUAGUAGUAAAGCUGCGGACUCUUAAUCCGUUGACGAGGGUUCGAUUCCUUCUGGGGGCACCA